UCCCUGGUGGUCUAGUGUUUAGGACUUGGCACUUCCACUGCUGUGGAUCGGGUUCGAUCCCUGGUCUGGGAA
rnacentral:tRNA from 1 species